rnacentral:lncRNA from 1 species
GAGAAAACAGAAGCUGUGAGAGGCUGACUUUCCCAAGUCUGCGUGACUAGUAAGAAUCCAAGAUGGGAUUCAACCUCAGCUUCCUGGACUUCAGGCCAGAGCUCAAGCCUCAACAUUACGGCUGCCUCAGUGACUUGAAAGAAAACCGGGCAGGGCUUCUUCAAGGACAUAAGCUAGCAGCUCACAAUGGGGCCUGAUGGGACAUGUUGCAUCGAAACUAGAAGUUGGCAUUGAGAUCCAGCCUCACUGUGGCACUACAAAGCUGCCGCCACGUCAGCUGGAUGACACUGAAAUGGACGAGAACAAAAGGCUUUUUCCUGCAGUGUGUAAUGUCCCCUUACCAAGGCCCAGGAGCUAUUGUGAUGCACUGAGCGUAAAGCUUCCAGAGCAGUGAGUAGGUGAAAAGGAGAACUCUGGGCUGAGAAUGAGAUUUCAGGCAAAGGGAAGACAUCCUCCUUCCAUUGAGGUCAUAUCAAGAGCUUGGGUGAGGACCACAUAAGAAGAGACUACAAUCCCACUGGUCUGCAUAACCAAGGACAGAAGUCAGGUGGAGAGAAAAUGAGCCCUCAGCUUUCCUGUAAGCCUCUACUAAGUGGCUUCCUGUCUGCAUGAAACAGAAAGAAAUUCCAGAAUCAUGCAAGUGGGGUUGGGACAGGGUGGGUAGUGUAUGCUUAGGACUUGCCUUUUUUUUUUUUUUUUUUUUUGCCUCCAUUGCUCUUGUAUCUACAGAGCAACUACCUCCUUCUCUACUGACUUGUACGCACAGAGUCCUGAUACUGGAAAGACCCUCUCUUUGUGUGGAAAGAAAUG